rnacentral:rRNA from 1 species
CCCUUAGAUGUUCUGGGCCGCACGCGCGCUACACUGAUACGUUCAACAAGUUCCUUGGCCGAAAGGUCUGGGUAAUCUUUGAAACCGUAUCGUGAUGGGGAUAGAACAUUGCAAUUAUUGUUCUUCAACGAGGAAUGCCUAGUAAGCGCGAGUCAUCAACUCGCGUUGAUUACGUCCCUGCCCUUUGUACACACCGCCCGUCGCUCCUACCGAUUGAACGUGCUGGUGAAGCGUUAGGACUGGCGCCACGUGUCGGGUCCCCCUUCAACGGGGCGCCGGGAAUUUCGUUGAACCCUNCNGUUUAUNGGAAGGAGAANUCGUANCA